GACCUAGUUCGCUGAUGACGACCGGCGCACGGGUGAGUAACGCGUACGCAACCUGCCCUUAACAGCGGGAUAGCCCCGGGAAACUGGGAUAAUAUCGCAUAGAUAUACACACUAUCGCCUGAUAGAGUAUAUAAAGCUUCGGCGGUUAAGGAUGGGCGUGCGUCUGAUUAGGUAGUUGGUGAGGUAACGGCUCACCAAGCCGACGAUCAGUAGGGGGCGUGAGAGCGUGAUCCCCCACACGGGUACUGAGACACGGACCCGACCCCUACGGGAGGCAGCAGUAAGGAAUAUUGGUCAAUGGGCGCGAGCCUGAACCAGCCAUCCCGCGUGCAGGAUGACGGCCCUACGGGUUGUAAACUGCUUUUAUUAGAGAAGAAACGCCUUGAUUUAUCGGGGCCUGACGGUAUCUAAUGAAUAAGCACCGGCUAACUCCGUGCCAGCAGCCGCGGUAAUACGGAGGGUGCAAGCGUUAUCCGGAAUCACUGGGUUUAAAGGGUGCGUAGGCGGUAUAGUAAGUCAGAGGUGAAAGGCUGCAGCUCAACUGUGGAAUUGCCUUUGAUACUGUUAUACUUGAAUCAGGUUGAGGCAGGCGGAAUGCGGCAUGUAGCGGUGAAAUGCAUAGAUAUGUCGUAGAACACCGAUUGCGAAGGCAGCUUGCUGGGACCUGUAUUGACGCUGAGGCACGAAAGCGUGUGGUGUAUCGUACAGUAUUAGAUUACCCUGGUAGUUAACGCCCUUAACGUUGUUAACUUCGAUUUGUGGCCCUUGAGGUCUGCGUCCAAGGUGAAUACCGUUUAAGUUAGCCACCUGGGGAGUUACGUUCGCAAGAAUUGAAACUCAAAGGAAUUGACGUGGGGUCCGCACAAGCGGUGGAGCAUGUGGUUUAAUUCGAUGAUACGCGAGGAACCUUACCUGUGCUCGAACGCUUACCGGCUAGCUUCUGAAAGGAAGUUUUCCUUCGGGACUGGUAGUGAGGUGCUGCAUGGUUGUCGUCAGCUCGUGCCGUGAGGUGUUGGGUUAAGUCCCGCAACGAGCGCAACCCUUAUCCCUAGUUGCCAGCACGUAAAGUUGGGACUUCUAGUGAGACUGCCGCGUCAAGCCGCGAGGAAGGUGGGGAUGACGUCAAAUCAUCAUGGCCUUUAUGCCCAGGGCUACACACGUGCUACAAUGGCGCAUACAACGGGUAGCGAAGCCGCGAGGUGGAGCCAAUCCAAUAAAGUGCGUCCCAGUUCGGAUUGGAGUCUGCAACCCGACUCCAUGAAGGUG
rnacentral:rRNA from 1 species